AUUGCUUCUCGGCCUUUUGGGCUGAGAUCAAGUGUAGCAUCUAUUAUCAAUUUAACAUCUGAUCUGUCCCCCAGCUGGGGAUCAUAUGUUAAUUGGAUUUUUGAGCAUGUGAGCCGAUUUCGAAGCUUGCUUCCGUCACCCCAUACUUGACCCGAUAUAGCAGUAUCUUCGGGUACUACGGGGGGGGG